CUCCUACGGGAGGCAGCAGUGAGGAAUAUUGGUCAAUGGCCGAGAGGCUGAACCAGCCAAGUCGCGUGAAGGAAGAAGGAUCUAUGGUUUGUAAACUUCUUUUAUAGGGGAAUAAAGUGGAGGACGUGUCCUUUUUUGUAUGUACCCUAUGAAUAAGCAUCGGCUAACUCCGUGCCAGCAGCCGCGGUAAUACGGAGGAUGCGAGCGUUAUCCGGAUUUAUUGGGUUUAAAGGGUGCGUAGGUGGUGAUUUAAGUCAGCGGUGAAAGUUUGUGGCUCAACCAUAAAAUUGCCGUUGAAACUGGGUUACUUGAGUGUGUUUGAGGUAGGCGGAAUGCGUGGUGUAGCGGUGAAAUGCAUAGAUAUCACGCAGAACUCCGAUUGCGAAGGCAGCUUACUAAACCAUAACUGACACUGAAGCACGAAAGCGUGGGGAUCAAACAGGAUUAGAUACCCUGGUAGUCCACGCAGUAAACGAUGAUUACUAGGAGUUUGCGAUACAAUGUAAGCUCUACAGCGAAAGCGUUAAGUAAUCCACCUGGGGAGUACGCCGGCAACGGUGAAACUCAAAGGAAUUGACGGGGGCCCGCACAAGCGGAGGAACAUGUGGUUUAAUUCGAUGAUACGCGAGGAACCUUACCCGGGUUUGAACGUAGUCUGACCGGAGUGGAAACACUCUUUCUAGCAAUAGCAGAUUACGAGGUGCUGCAUGGUUGUCGUCAGCUCGUGCCGUGAGGUGUCGGCUUAAGUGCCAUAACGAGCGCAACCCUUAUCACUAGUUACUAACAGGUGAAGCUGAGGACUCUGGUGAGACUGCCAGCAUAAGCUGUGAGGGAGGUGGGGAUGACGUCAAAUCAGCACGGCCCUUACAUCCGGGGCGACACACGUGUUACAAUGGCAUGGACAAAGGGCAGCUACCUGGUGACAGGAUGCUAAUCUCCAAACCAUGUCUCAGUUCGGAUCGGAGUCUGCAACUCGACUCCGUGAAGCUGGAUUCGCUAGUAAUCGCGCAUCAGCCAUGGCGCGGUGAAUACGUUCCCGGGCCUUGUACACACCGC
rnacentral:rRNA from 1 species